GGCCUUUACACGAUGUUUUAAGAAUCUUGCGGACCACUCUCAGAACGCAAUACGGGACAGUGAUCUCGUAUAGGGCAUAUACAUACAUAAAUUAUGCCAUUAAAAUGAAUUAAGGUAUAUAAAACUCAUUUUUAGGAGAUCAUAAACCGAUUGGACUGAAUAAGAGGGGACAGCUGAAAAUAGACGCCCAGUCCGAUGCAUCAUUUUCUUCUUCAAUGAAAAGAUGACAGUGAAAGGAGCGGCUCAAGAAUUAAAAUGGUGUUGACCAGGACUUCUACUUCAUUGAAUACUGUCACCCAGGGACUGUCACCUAAUGCAAGUGCCGGCCAGCGAAUAGCGAUGAAGGUUUUCAUCAGGAUGUAAUGACGGUCAGGUAUAUGAGAGGAUGCUACUUGGAAAGCAUCCGCGUGUGGUUAUGAAGACGCAGUUUUACCAUGAAAGGGAGGGGAAUGUGGAUAAUUGACUUGGGUUGACGAAUAUACCAAGCCGAUACCAUGAUUGUAAAGUUUACCUGAUGUAUCAUGGUGAGGGGUGAUCAAGGAUCCAGUGGAUGGUCUUCGGCGGCUCAAGCCCGAGGACCCAUACGUUACAUGAAGGAAAUGUUCAUGUUAAAGGUCGAGUUAUUUUGAAUAAAUAAUAGAGGAAAAUCGAACCAACAUAAUGCUUUAAAAAAAUCAGCAAAAUCGGAUGUAAAAUAAGAAAGUAAUGACAUUUUAAAAUUACGCUUAUUUUACACAAAAAACAUCACAGUGAUGUGCAAAUGAGAGAGUCGAUGCUGUCACACACUCACCCUCUUUUAAAAAAAAUAUUUCAAUCUUUGCAGAAUAGAAAAUGAUGAUAAAUCCAGUUGAUCAGAGGUUACAAAAUGCCAUUUUCACGUUUCACAUUAAAUGAGGAUAUAGAAUUGUGAAAUCAAGCGAAAUUUAAAAUAUAAGAACCUCCUAAUUUUACAUCCAACUUGAUUAAUUUUUCAUCAUUAUGCAUUCAGUGGUCUUUUGAGACUUUAAAUAGCAAUGUUUUCUAUAGUUUGAUUGCUUCCUUCAUUGCAUGAUUUCAUAUCAAAAUCUCGCCGAUCUUCUAAAAGUUUCACACCCUUGUUCUAAAACUACAUUUAUUUCAUCGGCACAUUUGAGGUAUAGAAAGGUAAAACAUUCAAUACAGAUGUUAACCAAGAGCAGCAAUUUUAUAGGGUGUAGAAACUGCAAAAGAAAGAAAAAAAAGGGUAAAGAUGAAAAAUGAGAAGUUUUGUGAUACAAAAUGUAAAUGCAUCAAAAUGAAGCGUCCCCCUUCUUUUCAGGAUCUCAUAAGAUUUUACAACACUUGUAACGUAAAGGUUAGAUAAUUUGCUAUGGAAAAUGUUUGUUAUUAUUUUUAUCAUCUCUACUAUUUAAUUAAAGUGUAUUUUUGUCAACGAGAGAUAGGCGCCGCUUUUCCAGCGGCGUCGUCAACAUUAAGGUCAAGUUUUUGAAACAUCAUUAAUGUAAAAGGACCUAUUUCAUGAAACUUGAACAUAAAGGCAAUCAAGAUAUCACUGAUCAUCUUAAAUAAGUUUCACGUCAUAGGAUGAAGGUAAAAGGUCAUUUAGGGUCAAUGGACUUUGACCAUGUUUUGGUAUAGUAACCAAGUUUAUGGUUUGCAAAAUAAUAAUCCGGAGGCACUUUCGGUGCCCAGAGAAAUUUCGAUAAUAAUUUUUGUUUCGUGAAUCUUAAUUUGUUCAUUUAGAUAUAAUUAUUUCAGCCCAGAGUACCCCUUUAAAGUGAUGUAGACACGGUAUAACGCCAAUAUUAAGGUGCACUUGCCCCUUCCCUCCAAAAAAGGCGAUGUAGAGUAACUUCAUUUAUCUCAUAUUGUUCAUAAAUACACAAUAGUUUAUACUUUGCGAUAUCCUAAAGUAAGCUAUAUCGGUUAUCAUUGUAUAGCAACACAAUGAUGUGUGGUAUACAUAAUUAUGUGACAGACACAUUGUAGAGCUACAAAAAUGAAUUUGUAAGCAUAUUAAACUUAAUACACACAUUUUGACCGUAUUUGGAAGAUUUCUUGGUCGUUUCUGAAAAUUAGAGAAAUUUACAUUUACUUCAAUUAAAAAAUGUGUCUUUUUUACAUAACCACUGUAUUGCCAUUCGGGUCAAAUUUUAACCUACUGAAAUGAAACUAAAUGAACUGCGUGAUGGCAUGAAAUGAUACUAAAAAUGUUAUAUAAUUUUCUAGUGACAUUAAAUCUCAAAAGACACAGUCUGAAGUGCAAAUGUUUAAUAACCAAAAGUGUUUUUUAAUCCCUAUUUUACAAUUUUUACAUAACCAACCUACGAGAAACCCGAACAAAAGUUGCUUCCUGAUGGAACAACAGAUCCCAUAGACUUCUGGUCCUGAUACAAGAGUUGCUCCCUGAUCUUGGCUAUACUUUAGUUAUAUAUUUUCUUUAAAUCAAAGAAUAUCUUACUUUGGGUGCCAUUACAGAGGUGUCGAUCCGGGUGGUUGAGGCGAUGUGAUCGGCCCCAAUGAACAUAUGGGGGGCAAACAUAUCGUUCUUCCCCAGAUAAUUUUGACAACUUGAGAAAUUUACAAAAUAAUGCAGUGCCAAUAAGUAUUAAAAAUCAUUAGAAAGCAAUAUAAAAUAUUAUUAUACACAAAAUUGUCAAUUUUUCUGCCCCAAUCCGACUCAUUGAUCGACGCCUCUUGGCAUCGUUUUAAGAACGGUUGUACAUGAUUGUGUAGUAAUUUUUUUUCUCUUGUUUGUAUUUGUUACAACUAUUGGGUCACAAUUUUGCUGUGUAAUCUGUUGAACCUUGUAGAAAUGAAAUGAUUAAAUGAACGAUUGAAUGAAUGCAUGGGUGAAUGGAUGAAUGAAUGAAUAUUGCCUAGUUACUACCUCAUUCAUUCAUUUAUUUAUCCAUUCAUACAUGUAUUCAAUUAAAUGACCUUGUUACACCUC